rnacentral:rRNA from 1 species
UACGUAGGGUGCAAGCGUUGUCCGGAAUUAUUGGGCGUAAAGAGCGUGUAGGCGGCCUGGAAGGUCAGCUGUGAAAACUCGAGGCUCAACCUCGAGACGUCGGUUGAAACCACCUGGCUAGAGUCCGGAAGAGGAGUGUGGAAUUCCCGGUGUAGCGGUGAAAUGCGCAGAUAUCGGGAAGAACACCCGUGGCGAAGGCGGCACUCUGGGACGGUACUGACGCUGAGACGCGAAAGCGUGGGGAGCGAACAGG